AACGAACGCUGGCGGCAUGCCUAACACAUGCAAGUCGAACGAAGCCUCCGGGCUUAUUGGCGCAUGGGGUUGUAACGCGUGGGAAUCUGCCCCUUGCUUCGGAAUAACAGUUAGAAAUGACUGCUAAUACCGGAUGAAGUCUUCUGACGAAAGAUUUCUCGGCAAGGGAUGAGCCCGCGUAGGAUUAGGUAGUUGGCUGGGUAAAGGCCUACCAAGCCGACGAUCCUUAGCUGGUCUGAGAGAAUGAUCAGCCACACUGGGACUGAGACACGGCCCAGACUCCUACGGGAGGCAGCAGUGGGGAAUGUUGGACAAUGGACGCAAGUCUGAUCCAGCAAUGCUGCGUGAGUGAUGAAGGCCUUAGGGUUGUAAAGCUCUUUUACCAGGGAUCAUAAUGACAGUACCUGGACAAUAAGCUCCGGCUAACUCCGUG
rnacentral:rRNA from 1 species